GACGAACGCUGGCGGCGCGCCUAACACAUGCAAGUCGAACGGUGACGAGGACUUCGGUCCUCUGAUCAGUGGCGGACGGGUGAGUAACACGUGAGCAACCUGCCUAUCAGAGGGGGACAACAGUUGGAAACGACUGCUAAUACCGCAUAACAUCAUCGGAAGGCAUCUUCUGAUGAUCAAAGAUUUAUCGCUGAUAGAUGGGCUCGCGUCUGAUUAGGCAGUUGGUGGGGUAACGGCCCACCAAACCGACGAUCGGUAGCCGAACUGAGAGGUUGAACGGCCACAUUGGAACUGAGAUACGGUCCAGACUCCUACGGGAGGCAGCAGUGGGGAAUAUUGGGCAAUGGGCGAAAGCCUGACCCAGCGACGCCGCGUGAGGGAAGAAGGUCUUCGGAUUGUAAACCUCUUUCAGCAGGGAAGAAGCAAGUGACGGUACCUGCAGAAGAAGUCACGGCUAACUACGUG
rnacentral:rRNA from 1 species